AAAAUGUUUUUGAUUUUUGUAUUUGGCUGACACAUUUAUCGUCUUAUCAUUGCAUGGGGCAGUCAAUGAGUUGGAGAGUACAAGCAGCCUUUGCUAAGUUUCUUUGUCUUUUUGUUUUUAUUUUCUUUUAUAUGCCUUUUUAUUCUUUAAUUUCUUUUCAUUUGUCAUCUUCACUAGCUGGCAAUGUCACGAGUGUUUGUCCUGUGAUCCCCUUUCUAAAUAUCUCGAUACAUAUAUACAUAUACAUGUCACAUGUGCAUAUAUAUAUAUGCAUUUGUAUAUAUAGUUUCUGUAUGUAACAUGUUCCUACCAUAUCCUCAAAGGAUUGUCCCCAUCAUAUUUUAAUUUAACGGUCCAAAAUAAACAACUCUGUUUCAUUCACGCGUCUUCAUUAUUGAUGUAAUUUACGGUUAAAAAAACAGCUUCAACAAAAAAUUAACUCUAAGGGACAUAUAUGCAAGUGAUGGAAGUAAGGAGGCCCAUCGACAUGAAACGAGAGGGAGAGAUGAUAUCGUUGUCUCACCAAAAACAGACAGCUCUUCUCUCAUCUUCUUAUUUAUAUAUUUUCCCCUGCUUUUCAUUUUACUGUUCUUAAAUUGUUUUCCUUAUAACCUUAUUUUAAAUAAGAGUAUAAUUACUUGUUAAGUAAUCCAUGUAGAUAAUUCUCUUGUUUCUUAA